CCUCAGCUGUCAAGUUCCUGGAUGUGGGGAUGGAAAUUGAAGAGGAACUCACAAGCCUCCUGCCGACACUAGACAGAGAGAAAAUAAUCUGCAUUGUAGAACAUCUGACGGACGUUAUUGGUGUACAACAAAAAAGUGAUCUUUUGUUUGUGGAGGCGGAAGAUCUCAAACCCUUUCUCACACCAAUUCAAAUACGUAAACUACUUCUUGCAUUUAAAGAUGGCAACAGACCAGAGAACCUGAAUGACACCAUUACUCUGAAGCCUUGCCCUGCUGCAUCAGCUGAAACAUCAAGCCAUCCACCUCACCCCUCCUCCUCCACGUCCACCACUAUGUACAACCAUUACUCCAGCUCUUGGGUCUCACACUUACA